CCUACGGGAAGCAGCAGUGGGGAAUAUUGCACAAUGGGGGAAACCCUGAUGCAGCGACGCCGCGUGAGUGAAGAAGUAUUUCGGUAUGUAAAGCUCUAUCAGCAGGGAAGAUAAUGACGGUACCUGAGUAAGAAGCCCCGGCUAACUACGUGACAGCAGCCGCGGGAAUACGUAGGGGGCAAGCGUUAUCCGGAUUUACUGGGUGUAAAGGGAGCGUAGACGGCAUGGAAAGUCUGAAGUGAAAGCCCUGGGCUCACACGCGGGACUGCUUUGGAAACUGUUAAGCUGGAGUACAGGCGAGGUAAGUGGAAUUACUAAUGUAGCGGUGAAAUGCGUAGAUAUUAGGAGGAACACCAGUGGCGAAGGCAGCUUACUGGACUGUAACUGACGUUGAGGCUCGAAAGCGUGGGGAGCAAACAGGAGUAGAUACCCCAGUAGUC
rnacentral:rRNA from 1 species